rnacentral:rRNA from 1 species
CGGGUGCACUGAUCCGGCCGGGCCUUUCCCUCUGCGGAACCCCAUGGCCUUCACUGGCUGUGCGGGGGAAGCAGGACUUUUACUGUGAAAAAAUUAGAGUGCUCCAGGCAGGCCUAUGCUCGAAUACAUUAGCAUGGAAUAAUAGAAUAGGACGCGUGGUUCUAUUUUGUUGGUUUCUAGGACCGCCGUAAUGAUUAAUAGGGACAGUCGGGGGCAUCAGUAUUCAAUUGUCAGAGGUGAAAUUCUUGGAUCUAUUGAAGACUAACUACUGCGAAAGCAUUUGCCAAGGAUGUUUUCAUUGAUAAGGAACGAAAGUUAGGGGAUCGAAGACGAUCAGAUACCGUCGUAGUCUUAACUAUAAACUAUGCCGACUAGGGAUCGGACGAUGUUAUUCUUUGACGCGUUCGGCACCUUUCGAGAAAUCAAAGUGCUUGGGCUCCAGGGGGAGUAUGGUCGCAAGGCUGAAACUUAGAGAAAUUGACGGAAGGGCACCACCAGGGGUGGAACCUGCGGCUUAAUUUGACUCAACACGGGGAAACUCACCAGGUCCAGACACAGUGAGGAUUGACAGAUUGAGAGCUCUUUCUUGAUUCUGUGGGUGGUGGUGCAUGGCCGUUCUUAGUUGGUGGAGUGAUUUGUCUGCUUAAUUGCGAUAACGAACGAGACCUUAACCUGCUAAAUAGCCCGUACUGCUCUGGCAGUUCGCCGGCUUCUUAGAGGGACUAUCGG